UCCAAUCAGUAGGCAUUGCCUGGAGAGAGGGCGGCAGUUAUCCACUGGCCAGUUUUCAAUAGGCUCAGGGAACACAUUUACCCGCACAUUCAGAUGGAGUUUCAGUCUCAAGAAUAAACACCCUGUUAAAGCUACUGGAGAUUAAAUUUCAAAAGUAUACCGAAAGAGAGAAGCGGAGGGAAGGCUCAGCGCAGAGAGGGCUGCGGAAAUGGGACGCGAACCGCUAUGCCCGCAGCCUGCUGCAGUUGGAUGGGAGAAGAGUUCAUCAGGAGGUCGCUGGAAACCUUAGAAAAGAGCCCAGCGUAUCCUGACUCAGGUGGCUCAGCAUAAUUGCAGCUUUCUCCAGUCUGUGGCACUGCCAUUGCAACACAAGAUUCAGCACAGGCCGGGAUGGUCAGGGAGAGAACAUGGCAGAUCCCACGCUGGUUCUUCGCACUCAGCUGCCGAAGGGCUGAGACAGCUUCGUGCCAGGCACUCUUCCAACUGCUGAGGAUUCAACAGGAUAACAGCCCUGUCUUCACGGAGCUCACAGUCCAGCAGAAGGAGCAGAGGGUUGAAAGAGCAUGAAGAGACCAGUCGUCUACUUACAGACCGUGCCAGUCAUGGCAUGGAGGCGCACAGGAGGCUGAGACAGUCACAGCCACUGAGGAGCAGCCGUGGGAAGCCUGAGUGAUCUGGGGUGUGAGAUCCUUGGAGUUCGUACUGUGGCCCAGCCGUGAUUUAAUCAGAAAGGACAGCAUUCUUCCUUAGUGAGACCUGCUGGAAUAAAGCAGAAGGCACACACAGGGGCCUCGCAGUGCCCCUGCGCCUGGGGAUGGCUCGCACCAGCUCUGCAUGCAGAUCACCUGCGAGCCACUGUGGCAUCCUCGCGGUGGCAGCUCUAGCCGCAAGCACAGUUCACCUCUGGGCAGCCGUGCACCCCAGGAGGCCCAGGCCCCCCGCGAGCCCUCUCCAGCAAACAGACACUUGCUUUGCGACCAAAAAAGGAAAUACCUUCUGAAGUGUGCACUUGAGGUCCUGGAGUCCCACUGGCAAAGCUCCCAUUUUAAAAUUAGGUGCCCUGAAGAUGCCUGCACAAUGCAGCCCAUUUAAAAGAGAGUUUUAGUCACAUCACUUUUAAAUGAAUCUCCCGUGUCCAGUGUCAUCCAGGUCAAGCAAGGCUGAUUUAAAUCCUGCCUGUAAAACAUUCUUAAUGCCGACUCUAUUCAUUUGGGAGUUGCUGGUAUAUGUGUACACAUAA